AGUCUUAUGGUGUAGUGGUUAUCACGUUUGCUUUACACGCAACAGGUCUCCGGUUCGACCCCGGAUAAGACUA